GAUGAACGCUGGCGGCGUGCCUAAUACAUGCAAGUCGAGCGAACAGACGAGGAGCUUGCUCCUCUGACGUUAGCGGCGGACGGGUGAGUAACACGUGGAUAACCUACCUAUAAGACUGGGAUAACUUCGGGAAACCGGAGCUAAUACCGGAUAAUAUAUUGAACCGCAUGGUUCAAUAGUGAAAGACGGUUUUGCUGUCACUUAUAGAUGGAUCCGCGCCGCAUUAGCUAGUUGGUAAGGUAACGGCUUACCAAGGCAACGAUGCGUAGCCGACCGGAGAGGGUGAUCGGCCACACUGGAACUGGGACACGGUCCAGACUCCUACGGGAGGCAGCAGUAGGGAAUCUUCCGCAAUGGGCGAAAGCAUGACGGAGCAACGCGGCGUGAGUGAUGAAGGUCUUCGGAUCGUAAAGCUCUGUUAUUAGGGAAGAACAAAUGUGUAAGUAACUAUGCACGUCUUGACGGUACCUAAUCAGAAAGCCACGGCUAACUACGUG
rnacentral:rRNA from 1 species